ACCCAGCUGCGCAGCCUCUGUGGUGGCCCAUGUUGGGCAGGAUGUGAGUGGGUCAGACCUGAGGACGGUUCUUGUGCAGCUUCUCUCCGCAACGCUGAUGCUGUGGGUCCCAAUCCAGCAGCCACAGGAGUACACGGCCUCGUCUUGUUUCCUUAAGAAAUUUAUAUUCAAAUCCUUACAUUUAUUUUCAAGGGGGAAGUGGAAAUUUGUUGUGCUUCCUACUUAAGCGACCAUAAGUAAGCUUUGCUGAGACAAAUGUGAGAUAUUCUCUCCCUGAUCUGGUUUCUGUCAGCACCAGUGCACGGCUGUCUUGUUAACAUCCCCAGUGGACACCUUUCAAGAUACGCGGGCACUCUCAUCUCUUGCUCUGGAAAUUGAUAUUUCAGGUUUCUCCAUCUUUACCUGCCCAAGGCCAACUGCAAGCAAAAAAGGGGAAAACCCCAUGAAAAAAUGAUAUGGAAAAAGGCCACAAUAAAGAAUUUUUUGUGUGUCUCCUGCAGACUGGAGUGAUUGGGGGACAACUCCCUGGCCCAGAGGGACGAGAAGAUGACUUCUUCCAGCAGCGGCAUCUUGUUGGCCUGUCUGGGUCCCCAGUGACAAGGCCCCUUGCAUAGCUGUUCAUGAUUACUCUCCAUUUCACAAAUGAGGACAGUGGCAAAAAGUAACUCGUGCAGAGACACAGCUGGUGAAUAUGAGAACAUGUAAAGUAACAGUAACUCUUCGAGAAAAUCUGAGUAAAGUGAGAUUAAUUCAGCAAGUGUGUACGGAGGCUGCCCUAGAGACGAGGCAUGUGCAGACCCUGGCGGGGUCAGACACCGGAGACAAAGGUCCUCCUUGGGAGCGCUUGUAUCCCAGCAGCACUUGCGUUCAUCUUCCUUCAUUUGGCGCCGCACCUGUUCCUCACAGUCACGUCCAUGACCGCAGUCGCCCGCGCUCCCUCCAUUUCAAGCCCCUUGUUAAUGCAGCCUGUGCCGCUCAUACUCCCUGGAAAUCUCUCAGGACAAGGAACUGACGGUCC
rnacentral:lncRNA from 1 species